rnacentral:rRNA from 1 species
CUCGACUACAUGAAGCUGGAAUCGCUAGUAAUCGCGAAUCAGAAUGUCGCGGUGAAUACGUUCCCGGGUCUUGUACACACCGCCCGUCACACCAUGGGAGUCAGUAACGCCCGAAGCCGGUGACCCAACCAAACGGAGGGAGCCGUCGAAGGUGGGACCGAUAACUGGGGUGAAGUCGUAACAAGGUAGC